UUUUCCUUUCAUCAUAUUUAUCUGAGAAAACAGAACCUACAGUGGUAAUCACUGCAUAAUACCUGUGUAUCAGACAAUCAUGCUAUGUGCCUAGACUUCUAGAGUAAUGUAUAUCAAUUAUUUCUCAAUAAAACUGGGAUUUUUAAAAAGUAUCUACUUUGUGGUUAGGAGGUAUGUUUACAUUACACAGAUUUUACAAAUACAUACACACACAAGACUGGAUAAAAAUGAAAGAGAAGCCCAUAGAAGUAAAAUCAGGUCAAAAAUAUUUUGAUAUGUCAGCUGCUAAGCAUGUAUGCUUAUUUUGUGAAUUCUCCCAUAAUUCCAUGCAGAAGACUAAUUUCAUCUUCUUAAGAAGCUUUUCAAUGCAUGUAUAUUUCCCAGAAGCAUGGAUUCUGCUAUAGAUUAACAUAAUGUCAAAAAUCUAUUUAAUAAGAAAAUGCUUCCUAUGGUAAAAAACUCAAAUACUUACAAUGCUUUUAAAAACGUUCUACAAACAUUUGUGUAAUAAGGAUAAACACAAGACCUUUACCAAACUUUUAUGUUCUAUAUUGAAUAUCUUGUUUGUACACAAAGCUGAAAGAAGUAGCAAAGUUAUCUAACAUUUAUAACGCAUAAAUAUGUAACAUGUAAUAGUCACAGAGAACCAGACUAUGUUCAAAAAGCUACUGACACAUUAAAAAGCACAGUGCUAUAAACCAAUCUAUUAUGUAUGAUAAAAGAUCUUUCUCAUUAAAAUAUAUUUUAUUAAAUAAAUGAUAAACAUAAUAAUUGGCUUUUCCAUAUUCAUACUUCCAUUAUAUUUUUUAAAAAAUUCAACAUUUUGGUUACUGUGUAAUAUAUGUAGUUGAUGACACAAAAGGUGUCAAAACUUCAGAAAUAUCUGUUUAUUAUAAAAAUUUUAGUGAGUUGUUAAUUUCUUUAUUGUAAAUUGUACUUUACCUCAAUUCAAUACUAAUUAUCAGAUGCAAAAUAAAGCAGAAUAAGAUAUAAAUAAGCUUGUAAAAAAUUCAAGAAACUUACAACAUUAAUGUUAUAAUGUUGUUACUUAUGCUUACAGGAAAAAUCAUGAAUAAACGAGUCAUUUCUGUAACAAAUUUAUAACUGAUGACUACCAUACCAGUUCUUAAAAAUUAUGUGUAUUCAAAUGUUACCUAUACUAUGCCAUGUUAAAAAGUCUUAGAUCUGCUAAGCUUUCAUGCUGAUCCAUCAGCUUAGAAAAUGUUUGUAAAAUUUUUUAAAAUGCAGUGUAAACAUUUCAGCCCUGAACCUUCUUUCUAUGCCUUUGAACCUUCUCUUUCAUGUGCAAUACCUGACGGCCCACGGAGAAUAGCUGCUGAAAGCCCCAAAGAUGGGUAAAACAGAAUUUCUGACUCAGGAAAUAAAGAUCAGCUGAACAGGAUUCCCAGAUGGCAAUCCAGAUCAAUGGAAAAGCAAGACCAGAAAUUUACAGUAUCUAUCCUACACAGUAUAGCAUGAAGGUUGUAUUUCAUUGCUAGUAACAAAACUCCCAGGGGCCAAGAAAAAAAGGAGAUACAAAGAUUAUAAAUCCAGUAAUGAGAAACUACACUUUAUUUUGACAUUUUUCUCUAAGUGGAAUUAGAAACUCCACUACCUUUAUUUGGAAUCACUGAUAUGGUCAAUCAUUUCUGCAACUAAACAACUGCAUUCCACUAAAACAAUUAGAGCAAUCAUGAGAGGUGGAUUAAUGUUUAUGGAAAAUUCCUUGCAAAUUUCCAGCACCUAUCAUCAGGUUAGAUGGAAAUGGCUUCUGUGUUUUAUGCCUAGAAAAAUAAUGAUUUAGUUAAAUUUCAAAUUUUGUGAAGAAAAACUCAGAAAAGACCUAUUAAUAACAAAAAUUAAUAUUUUAUAAGCAAAUUUUAAAACUUAAAACAUUUCAUUACAAUGCUGCCAAGUCUGAGGGACUCAGUAAUCCAUGCCAAACAGGAAUUACCUCUACUAAUACCCCCAUUUUUGGUGGCACUCAAGUUGAUAUUUUAGUAUUUCCUAACUCAUAAGGCUACCCUUUUCCAUUUUGGGCAUGUUUUUAUUCUCAGCACGUGUACAUCCAAAUAACUUGUAUCUACGUGGUCUUAUUCUGACUAGUGAGGCUAUAUAAAAUAAAUUCCCAUUCUACACAACUAUUCUUUAAAACACUGUGCACUAUUCAAUCCUUCCUAUCUCUUGAAUUCUGCACUAAACAACCCAGCAGUUCCUUGUCCUAAUUCUCUUAUGUCAUCGUUCCCCAAUCCUUUGAAACCAUGGUUAUCUCCAGAUAAACUUUAGUUUCAGUUAAAUGUGACACUGUAAACUGAAUAUGGUACUACAGAUAUGAGUUAUCCAUUUCACAGCACCCUCCACAUGCUAAUCUAGACACCAUGGGUUUUUUAGUUUGCAUUGGAUUUUUAUAGUCAAGAUCCAUAUAUUCACUGCCUAUUAGAUGCCUUCACUUGGAUUUCCUACAAACUCCUCAAAGUCAAAAUGUCCAAAAUUAAAUUGAUCCUCUUUCUCCUUCACUUCUCUACUUCAUCACACUCCAAAUAUGCUUCCCCUCCUAAUUUCCUGUAUCAGUGCCUAUACUAAAAAUAGCCACAAACCUGCCAGCAUCCUAUAUUCCUCCUUCAUACUCAUGUCUGUCAUCCAAGUGACCAUCACACCCCAUCACACUGACCAUGCAAUUUAACAAUCGGGCUCUAUGCCAAACUGCUAAAGUCUAAAUUCUUGCUCUCCCCUAACAAGCUGUGUGGCCUUGGACAAGUAACCUAGCCUUUCCAUUACUUAGUUUCCUCAUCUGUAAAAUGAAAAUGAAAUGAAAAUAAUACAGACAUACCUCAGAGCUACUGCAGGUUUGGUUCCAGACCACUUCAAUAAAGUGAAUUAUCACAAUAAAUAAGUUAAAUAGUUUUCACAGUGCAUAAAAGUGUUAUAUUUAUAGUAUAUUGUAGUGUACUAAGUGUUAUAUUUAUAGUAUUAAAGUGUUAUAUUUAUAGUAUUUUGUAGUGUACUAAGUGUGCAAUAAUAGCUUUAGAACCAAAAAAAGAAAAACCCAAUGUACAUAACUUAACUUAAAAAUGCUUUAUUGUUAAAAAAUGCUAACCAUCAUCUGAGCUUUCAGGUCAUCAUCAUCUUUUUGCUGGUAGAGGGUCUUGACUGGAUGUUGAUGGUUGUUUGACUGCUUGACUGAUCAGGGUGGUGUUACUAAAGGUUGGGGUGGCUGUGGCAAUUUUUUUUUUUAAGAGCAAGAGAGAGAGAGAGUGGGGAAGGGCCAAGGAAGAAGGGGAAAGAGAAUCCUAUUGCAGCUCUAGGAGCAGCACAGAGUACAAUGCAGGGCUCGAUCUCACCACUCUGAGAUCAUGACCUGAGCCCAAAUCAAGAGUCGGAUGUUAAACCUCCUGAACACCCAGGUGUGUCAAUUUUUAAAAAUAAGACAACAGUGAACUUUGCAACAUAGACUCCUUUAUGAACAGUUUCUCUGUAGGAUGUGAUGCUGUUUGAUAGCCUUUUACCUACAGAGCUUCUUUCAAAAUUGGGGUCAAUCCUCUCAAAUCCUACCACUACUUUAUCAACUAAGUUUGUGUGAUAUUCUAAAUCCCUUGUUACUUCAACAGUCU
rnacentral:lncRNA from 1 species